AACGAACGCUGGCGGCAUGCCUCAUACAUGCAAGUCGAACGAGGUCUUCGGACCUAGUGGCGCACGGGUGAGUAACAUGUGGGAAUCUACCUGAAGGUUCGGAAUAACUGCGGGAAACUGUAGCUAAUACCGGAUGUGUCUGCAAAGAGAAAGAUUUAUCGCCUUCAGAUGAGCCCGCACUAGAUUAGCUAGUUGGUGAGGUAAUUGCUCCACCAAGGCUACGAUCUAUAGCUGAUUUGAGAGGAUGAUCAGCCACACUGGGACUGAGACACGGCCCAGACUCCUACGGGAGGCAGCAGUAGGGAAUAUUGGACAAUGGGGGAAACCCUGAUCCAGCAAUGCCGCGUGAGUGAAGAAGGCCUUCGGGUUGUAAAGCUCUUUCAUCAAUGAUGAUAAUGACAUUAGUUGAAGAAGAAGCCCCGGCUAACUUCGUGCCAGCAGCCGCGGUAAUACGAAGGGGGCUAGCGUUGUUCGGAAUCACUGGGCGUAAAGCGUAUGUAGGCGGAUCAAAAAGUUAGAUGUGAAAUCCCUGGGCUCAACCCAGGAACUGCAUUUAAAACUAGUGAUCUAGAAUUUGGUAGGGGUUAGUAGAAUUUCCAGUGUAGAGGUGAAAUUCGUAGAUAUUGGAAAGAAUACCAGUGGCGAAGGCGACUAACUGGGCCAUUUUUGACGCUGAGAUACGAAAGCGUGGGUAGCAAACAGGAUUAGAUACCCUGGUAGUCCACGCAGUAAACGAUGAGUGCUAGUCGCUGGGACAAUAGUUUCAGUGUCGAAGCUAACGCAUUAAGCACUCCGCCUGGGAAGUACGGUCGCAAGAUUAAAACUCAAAUAAAUUGACGGGGGCCCGCACAAGCGGUGGAGCAUGUGGUUUAAUUCGAAGCAACGCGAAGAACCUUACCAGACCUUGACAUGGUAUGUUUGAAUUACAGAAUCGUAAUUCUUCAGUUCGGCUGGCAUACACACAGGUGCUGCAUGGCUGUCGUCAGCUCGUGUCGUGAGAUGUUGGGUUAAGUCCCGCAACGAGCGCAACCCUCAUUUUUAGUUGCCAUCAGGUUAAGCUGGGCACUCUAGAAAAACUGCCGGUGAUAAGCUGGAGGAAGGCGGGGAUGACGUCAAGUCCUCAUGGCCCUUACGGUCUGGGCUACACACGUGCUACAAUGGUGGUGACAGUGGGCAGCGAUACUGCAAAGUAAAGCUAAUCCCAAAAAACCAUCUCAGUUCGGAUUGGACUCUGCAACUCGAGUCCAUGAAGUUGGAAUCGCUAGUAAUCGUAGAUCAGCGUGCUACGGUGAAUACGUUCUCGGGCCU
rnacentral:rRNA from 1 species